rnacentral:lncRNA from 13 species
UGGCUGACCCCAUGUUUGCUGCAUCUAGGCUCUACCAGGACAGGGUGUGGAAUAUGAGUGCCCUUGUGAUGCCAUCAAAGCUGAUCCCUCGGCCUCAGCUGCUGUGGCUGUGUGCAGGGCACUGUGCUGUUCUCCAGCCCCACUAAGCUGCUUGUUGGUAAGAGCCUGCAGCUGCAGCAGCUGACUGACCAUCCAGCAGUGUCUGGCAGGCCCGUGUCAUGCGUGCCUAAGUGCUUAUAUGGAUGGCUUUCCAGUAGCUGGGUGUGCCUGUGGGCUGGGGAGAAGGGGGUGUGGUACCGGGACUUCGGGAGAUAGUUGCUGUUUACCUGUGGAUGUGACGGUGUGUGGUGAAGCACUACAGUGUCAAAAAGUUCUCAAGGUGCAGAGGGGAACCCCUAGACAGGCCUUGCCGGAAUCCUGCGGUGACAGAACAAGGAGUCUCAUUCCAUUCUUCCUGAAAAAAAGAAAAAAUAACUGCUGGGAAUUUCUGAGCAAGUGGAAACAGGGAGGUGGUGGCGGGAGCUGCCUUUGCCUUAAAAGGUGUGACGGAGCCAGGGACUUAGCUCACCUGGGGAUGGCCAAGGGGUGUGGAGCGGUGGGUGGCUGGCCACCACCUUGUGGGCUCGCUGCAAAGUGCUCUCUAGAGAGCCUGGAUCUUCACUGAUGGCCUUGCUGGUGAGGGCUGUGCCGCUCCACCUCUAUCCCCUGCCCAGAGGGCUCAGUCCCAUGCAGCUGGCAGCCCACCCUCCUCCAGGUGAGAACGCAGCUACUUGCUGGAGCUUCUGGUGGUCCCCCUGCCCUGUCUCCUGGCCAGUUCCCAGGAGCCCAAAGUCCCCUUCCCUUUUCUUUUUUUUCUGAAGCAGAGUCUCUCUCUGUUGCUCAAGCUGGAAUGUGCAGUGGUGCAAUCUUGGGGCUCGCUGCAACCUCUGCCUCUUGGGUUCAAGUGAUUCUCCUGCCUCAGCUUCUCAUGUAGCUGAGAUUACAGGCUCCCACCACCACAUCCAGCUAAUUUCUGUAUUUUUAGUAGAGACAGGGUUUUGCCAUAUUGGCCAGGCUGGUCUUGAACUCCUGACCUCAGGUGAUCUACCUGUCUUGGCCUCCCAAACUGCUGGGAUUACAGGCAAGAACCACUGCGCCUGUCCUCCUUCCCUUUCAGGAGCAGUCUCAGGAGCCCAGGCCAGGCCACCAAUUAGGAGAGGCCUGGUGCAAACCUCACAGGAGGCAGGAAAUUACUGUAGCCCUCCCUAUCCUCGAGCCUACCCUCCGACACCCCCAGUGGAUUCCUGGAACCGGAUAGUACCGAACCUCUGUGGAUUAGGCUUUUUCUCUCUGAUCACCAAGAGCGCUAUGAAGUGACUCACGGGUGGGAACGCCUACUGUGCGGAGACACUGGACAGAGGAAUGAGUCACGUUGCUGUGCGAUUUCGUCACCCUACUCAGAAUGGCAUGCUAUGUAACAUUAUGAAUUAUUUCUGAAAUUUUCUGUUUAAUAUUUUUGGGCUGUGGCUAGCUGCUGGAAACUGUGAUCAAGGAAAGUGAAAUCACAGGGGAUCGCUGCUGUAACUCCACAGGCCGGAGAGUGAGGGAGGAAGGGAGCAUCCAGGAACCAUCCAGAGCCCAACCUCCCCAGCCACUCAUCCACAAUCGGCAACACUCACACCACA